rnacentral:misc_RNA from 1 species
GUUGUGUGUAUGUGUGUAGGCAGCCAGUGGGGAUCUCAGCUGUGUUGGUACUGAUGAAGUGGAGAAGACGUGGUCAUUCACCUACUUCAUGGGCCAGUACAAUACUCUCAUCGAGUGGCUACACAGCAUCCAAGAGGCAGUGCAUCUCGAAGCAACUGAACAUGAGCCCCACGUAGCAGAGAUGCAGCAGAGGAGCCACCUGCGGGCACGCUUUAACGAGAAUGCAGAGAAGCUCUCGCGCCGCUACCCAAACAUGAAGGACGAGGUGAACUGGCGCGUGAACUUGCUCAACCACAAGUGGGACACACUAGAGUGCGUCAUCACACCGAAGAAGGGCAGCAAGAAGAAUGACGACAAGCUCUUCGCAGAUCUUGAGGAUGACAUCUGGAAUGUUCGGCAAUGGUUAGGAGAAGUAGACGAAAAAAUGAAAAAUGGACCACCAGAUGACAGCACAUGGACAUUACAGCAGUUGGAGGACAAACUGAAAGAACAAAAGCUGACUCAGGUGGCGAUCGAGUCGCGCUCGAAGCUCAUCUGUGGAUUGCUGAAGCUGUGCGACCACCUGCAAGCCGACAACAAGGUCUACCCGUCCUCGAUAGACGUUGACUCGGUGCAGGCCGUCGUCUACCAGCUCGAACGCCGCUGGCACGCCCUCUGGCUGCAGAGUCUCGAGUUCACGUUCCGGCUGGAGCAGAUGAUCAGGGACUGGCAGGAAGGAAAACCAGGUGAGGGCACCACAGUCUGCCAGCAGGAACAAGACAUCAGUCUUCCCGAGGUUGUGCGAGGAGAAGGAUCGGAGAGCGAUCGCAGCGACGUGAUCCCGUUUUCCGCAGAGGAAUACGAACGAUUCUCAUCUGACAUGGACCAGAGCACUGACUUCCACCCCGCCGUCGAUCGCCGGUCGACGCCCGCUGCGGAUGCCCUGCACAGGUGGCAGCACAAGAGCACGAUGGUGGGCGACACGGGCAUGCAGGACCUUCACAGCGCCGUCGCGUGCGGCACCAAGUUUGAACUCGUCGUGAAAGACAUCGGUUACUCGAGUGAGAGCUCUCUGCACUGCUCUAACGACGAGCUGGAGCGUGUGGGGAGCGUGGCGCGCGCCGACCCGCGGCCGCACGGUGGCACCCCUGAGCAGCCGCACGUGGCAGAUGGCUGGUGGGCAGGGAGUAGUGCGCGGGGUCGUGUCGGCGAGGAUGCUGCGCAUGUCGACGUCCUGCCCAGGGCUUUGCCAUCGUCGCUGUUUUACGAGGUGAAUCCUGCCGUCGAUGGAAACUCAGAGGGCGACGAAGAGAUCCAAGCGCCCCCUGGUGCACGGAAAUCUCUGCGUUUCAGCGUGGAAGAUCAGACUCGAACUCGACUCGAUUUCGUCGCACAGAGUACGGAGACACACGUUGAGACACUGACACCCGUUAUUGAUGGAGUUGAUCACGGGCGAGCAUCUGCGAUGCAGCCUGCCGCAGACCCAGACGUAUCUCGCAGGGGCACACUGUUGACACUGCCCUCUGGUGACUCGCUGUCAGCUUCCAAUGUACAGUUGUUCUUUCCCUGCGAUGUUCCGACCAACGCGAACGACUCUAUGUUCGUGAACAACGGCAGCUUCCUCGACCUGAACGCGUCAUCCGAGACGCGCGCGGUGUGCCUCGACGCACAAACGCGACUCGAACACCAGGUGGCGCUGAUGCGCUUCGAGGAGCGGCUGCUUGCCAUGCAGCAUGUGCCACAUGCAGGUCAUGACCUCGACACCAGCAUCACCUGGGCGGAGCGACCAGCAGUUAGCAUCGACGCUGUCACGGUGAUCGCGUGCGAGACCGAUGCACUCAAGACGACGACGACAACCAUGCAGUACGACGUGCGAGCCAUCACAACGUGUAAUCAGAACGACACCGUGCCGCCGUGGGACGGAUAUGGGAAGAAUCCGCAGUCAAAAGACAUCCCUGGUAGUAGCCAACCGAUGCGGGACAGCUCCUGCGAUGCGUCGGGGGAUUACACCAGCGAGGCGACGGACGCUUCGGGCGAAAACACGAGCGACUCUGACAACGACGACGAAAUCUCAAGCGAGGAUGAGAGUGCGCGCGGCAGCGUGAUCGCUGUCGAUCCGCCACGCGAUGGUGGCGCCCUCACAGUGCCGCGCGAUGGUGGCACCCCUGCCGUGGCUGUGCGGCGGCGGCGGCGGGCCGGUUCGGAGCAGCGGCCACGCAGCAUCGAGUACGCACGCGCACCAUGGCCCCUUGACGCGUCGCCGCUGUCGACGUCAGACAACGUGCUGUACGUGCUCGCCAGCAGCACGCCGACCACCACGCCAGGGGGCGCCACAGGACAGAAGCUGCGGCGCUCGCAGGGGAAGCUGGAGCUGAGGCAGGAGCGGAGGAGGAGAGGGAGGCGGGGAACGCUGCGCAGGACGCAAUCGGACAGCCCGGGUAGCUCAACGCACACGAUCCCACAUUCCCUGUCGGCUAACUCCGGGCUUGCGUACCUGCAGCAGGUGACGCCCAGGUCUGCCAGUGAUGGUGCUAAAGAUGACUAUGUCGGUAAUCUUACCGAGGAUGGCACUGCGUUCCCUGUCUGCCCAACAUCAGUGCCAGCUAUGGCACCAACUGCCCUCUUUGCCGGAGAUGCCGCAGCAGGACUCAUUGACAGUGGGACGAAUGUUCAAGCUUCUGGGAAUAUUAGCGAUACUGAAAAGCAGUUUGUGCCAGGAGUGGAAACAGUGAGUUCGCUAUCAGAUGCUGCAUGGGAUAAUUACCAGGAGCCACUGUACAUUAACAGUGUUGAUACUGACCAGUCUGCAUGGCGGGAGGUAGCUAGGAAGAUGAUUGAGCAGUAUGGGGAGGACUACCACGCCACCAUACCGCUCGAGUCGGACAGUGGCAGCGAGGUGCACUCGGUAGACUCACCACUCAGGGCGGUUACAAAGCAUGCCAGUAGUACGCCGAGCAGAAAGGAUAUGUCCGCACACAGCAGCGGUCAUCCUAUACCACUGGACUCUGACUCUGACUCUGACCUUGAGGAUUUGCACUACGUUAUCGACGAGUCCAGCAGCCAGAUCCACGUGGCUCAAGCCGCUCUGAUCCGGCUACAGCAGGACGCUGCCGGACAGCCGCUCGACCCGCAGAAAUACGCUGAGUUGCUAGCAACGUGUGAGACAAACAUCAAGUGUCUUCUAGUGAUUUCCGACCAUCUCAGCAGCAGCAGCAGUGUUGUCAGUUUCUUGGAGGAGGACAUAGUAACACUGUCUGACUUGGUCGGAUGCUGGGAGGAGCUACAGAGGAAGGCGUUAAGCAGUCAGCAGCAGGCGGCUGAUGUGCUGGCACUGCGCAGGGAGCUGUGCAGCGUGAGGAGUCGUCUGCUACUCGUGUGCACGCGCGGCAUCGUCGGCAGCGAGACAGAUGUGUUCGCGACCUACAGCAGUCUGGAGGUCGCCAUCCGCAUGCUGCAGGAGAGGCAGGUGCAGCUGGAGGAAGUGAAGACAAUCUUGACUGCUGUCAACGUGACACUUCACAGGUUCAUGGUUCAGCAUCCUGAUGUUGACGUCAGCAAGAUCCAGGAUGAAGUGACAGAGCUUUACCGCAGAUGGGAUGAACAGCAACAUAGCGACUCGGUGUGGUUGGGACAGCUAGAAGGAGCUCUCAAGUGCUGGCACAACAUUCGAGAUGGCUUGAUGCAGCUGCAGGGUCUUCUGAGCAGCACAGAGACAGAGAUGCUGCUACUGGAGGAGUCGAUAAAUCUUGAUGGCUCUGGCACAAUCUCCGUGGCACCUGCAGAAGCUCAGCUACGUGAUGCCAUGGUGCUUCAGGAUGAGGUGUGCAGCAUGAGCAGUCGUAUGAGCGCGUUGUCAACACUGGCACUAGACAUAGUGGCAGGAGAAGCACGCCCGAUGGAGGACAGCGAGCUAAUGCAGGACCUCAGCAAGACGGAAACGGUGCUUACAACUCUGAGGCUGAAGGUCGAUCUGCUGGUCGGGGCUCUGGAGGCGCGUGUCCGCCUCGCGACAGAUGGUCACGACGGCUGCGACCCGACACUCACCGAGUUACACGUCGUGGAUGCGGUCGAUAGUGGGGUCAGCGUCUCGGGCGAGUCCAUCGAUAGUCUGAGUCCCCGGUGGAACGUGCAGGUUUCCACCAGUAGGUGUACAUCCAAGAAGGAUGCAGCAACCACGGGCUGGGGUUCCUAUAUUUGCCGCGUGAUGAAGGCAUCCAUUGCACCGUGGCUCCUCGUGGUGGGAAUACUCAUCAUUCCCUUGUUGCUAAGGCCGGACUGCUGUGAUGAGGCAAAUACCUAUCAGUGGAUGUGGAAUCCUAGUCUGCUUCACCAGGGCUACCCCGCACCAACCUAGACCAUGUAGAAACCACUUCAAUGUAAGCACACACAGCGAUAUGAAAGUCUGAAUGCACUUAUUAGGUAUGGACCGUUGAUCAGUUUGCAUUAUUUAUAGGUGUGCAAUAAUAGCAUUUUGGGUUAUAUCAAAUGUUUUUAUCCUACUUGGCCUUUUAUUAUAUGAAAAAGUGAAUCAGACAAUUCUAUACAGACAUUAACAUAAUAGUAACAUUAUACACACAGAAUUGUAUCUUCCAUUAAUGUUACUAUUAUACUGACAAAGUUGCCCAUAUGCAUGACAGUUUUGGUAUAUGGUCUUCAUCCAUGGAGAUGUGUUGUCCUAACUUGUGCUUGUAAAUACUUGUGUAAUAAAUUCUAAACUCUCAGGAGAUAUAGCAUAUACACAAGUUUGUUUUUACCAUAAUAUUUUAUCAUGUGUAAUUUACUAACUUUGACAUCGUGUGUAGUGAAGAGUAAAUAGUUGAAUGAUCUGUUCUUAUUCAUGGAAUGGGUAUAUCUAUUUAUUGUAUCAUGGAUAUUAACAAAAGUAGAUAAUAGGGAA